CAAAUACUGAAAAAUACAUCUAGUUCAUGAAAAUGACUUGUAUCCCAACCAAAUCCACUACAAAAAACUUAAAUGAGUGUCAAACCAACCCCACUCUGAAUGUAGUAGCAAUUUCAGAUGUUUCCGGUCUCGCAAGGAAAAGAAAGAAAAGGAGCUGCCGAGUCGUACAUUAUUUUCAGCUUUCCCUAACCUAAAACGUAUUAACUUCUUCCCUCCAUUCUAAUGUAUUUAAAGGUUUAAAAACUGCUGCUCUUAUAACAGCUUCAACCACAAUGGAAACAACAAUUUAUCACUGCACAAUCCCUCCACCAAAGGAAGAUAAAUAAAGGGUAACUAGCCACUGUUGUAAGCUAACAUUACGUGGAGCUGAAUGAUGCUCUCCUAUUGCGGCAGGAAAUGGACGCG
rnacentral:misc_RNA from 1 species